rnacentral:tRNA from 1 species
CCACCCGUAGCUCAACUGGUAGAGCAGCGUGCUUAUACCGCGUAGGUUCCUGGUUCGAGUCCAGGCGGGUGGA